CAGAACCCUGGAGAAGAGCACGAAAGAUGGAAAUAGAAGCCAAACCCCUGUCGGAGGAAUCCAUGCAAAUGCAAACUCCAGAGAAGAGCUGGUGUACAACCCUGUUAGCUCAUCCUGCUAGGGAAUUUCUUCCAUAAAAGCCGAGUGAGACCCGUCAUCGUUUGCUCGUGAGUGUGUCAGGCAAGCAGCAUACUUCUCUAGUGCUAGACAGGGCCUCACUUCAGCCUGAAAUAAGAAAGAGAAUGGAUGACUGGGAUGUAUGCAGCCAAGGGAAUGGAAGGCAGAAGAUGUCGUCGGGGCUGUCCUUCCCACUGGAACAAACACCCCAAAUGGUGAGAACUACAGGCCAGGAAUGGCAAGUUUAUCAGAUAAAGUCCAGAUGAGGCUUGCUCAGAAAACAGCCUCGGCCGUUAAGAUUUAGCUUCCACAGACAUCAUCCAAUAUUAAACAUAAACAUU